GAUGAACGCUGGCGGCGUGCCUAAUACAUGCAAGUCGAGCGAACGGACGAGAAGCUUGCUUCUCUGAUGUUAGCGGCGGACGGGUGAGUAACACGUGGAUAACCUACCUAUAAGACUGGGAUAACUUCGGGAAACCGGAGCUAAUACCGGAUGAUAUUUUGAACCGCAUGGUUCAAAAGUGAAAGACGGUCUUGCUGUCACUUAUAGAUGGAUCCGCGCUGCAUUAGCUAGUUGGUAAGGUAACGGCUUACCAAGGCAACGAUGCAUAGCCGACCUGGGAGGGUGAUCGGCCACACUGGAACUGAGACACGGUCCAGACUCCUACGGGAGGCAGCAGUAGGGAAUCUUCCGCAAUGGGCGAAAGCCUGACGGAGCAACGCCGCGUGAGUGAUGAAGGUCUUCGGACCGUAAAACUCUGUUAUUAGGGAAGAACAUAUGUGUAAGUAACUGUGCACAUCUUGACGGUACCUAAUCAGAAAGCCACGGCUAACUACGUG
rnacentral:rRNA from 1 species